GCUUGUCGGCAAUACCCGGAUGGAAGGGUUAUGGCCGCCAUCGGGGACUCGCCCGCCAUGGAGCUCACGCCAGAUAUCAUCUCUUCUUUUGAUCAGUGUUCCUGAUUGUGGCUUUUUUUCAAGCAUUGUAUUGUGUGCCUUUUGUUCCUUGAAGAAGAGGGGUUACUAAAGAUUGACAUACUGGAGUAUAGUCUGUCUUUAAAUAAUGCUCUGUCCUCCCUCUUCACCUCUCCCAC